GAAGAAGAUUAUUGAAACACCCAUUGUCAAGCAGCCUACAGCCAUCCAAGGACUCAGCCGCUCACCUAUUCUAGCAGCCUUCCAGAAGAAGCCUCGAAACCCAGUUCUUUGUUCAAGAAGUGCUGGAAAAUGCAUCUUUACAUAAGUGCAGGUACAAAUCCAUAACAGCACUACUGUCAAGAAGGAAUGGAAAUUAAAUAGCGCUGACAUAUCUGAACUUUCCUGUCUUGAACAAUUUUUGCUUCAACCAAGUCACCAAAUCUAAAUGACAGGGCAAUAGCAGAAAUUGUAACGAUGAUAAUGAUUGUGAUGC
rnacentral:misc_RNA from 1 species